rnacentral:lncRNA from 1 species
ACAAAUAAUCAGAGAAUUUCCACAUGUGUGAUUGUUGUUGAUCUUCUUGGUUUGCUGUUUGCUUCUUAGCUGGGCGACUUUAAGAAGCCAUUUCUCUCUGGAUUGCACUGGUGAAGGGAAGGUACUGAAAGGUCAGAUUGGCUUAACUGAGAAACAACCUGAGUGAAGCGGAUCUUCUCAGCCUCCUAGGGAAAGUUCUCUAGUCGAGUGUCGGAAUGUCUAAGCUAUUGUCCCCACAGUGGCAGGUCACGGGUUGUGUGAUUCUGCAUAAUUUACUGCAUCAUCAUCAUGAACUUG